AUUGAACGCUGGCGGAAUGCUUUACACAUGCAAGUCGAACGGCAGCACGGACUUCGGUCUGGUGGCGAGUGGCGAACGGGUGAGUAAUGUAUCGGAACGUGCCCAGUCGUGGGGGAUAACGUAGUGAAAAUUACGCUAAUACCGCAUACGAUCUAUGGAUGAAAGCGGGGGAUCGCAAGACCUCGCGCGAUUGGAGCGGCCGAUAUCAGAUUAGGUAGUUGGUGGGGUAAAGGCCCACCAAGCCAACGAUCUGUAGCUGGUCUGAGAGGACUACCAGCCACACUGGAACUGAGACACGGUCCAGACUCCUACGGGAGGCAGCAGUGGGGAAUUUUGGAGAAUGGGCGAAAGCCUGAUCCAGCCAUUCCGCGUUCAGGAUGAAGGCCCUCGGGUUGUAAACUGCUUUUGUACAGAACGAAAAGGUUUCUACUAAUACUAGGAGCUCAUGACGGUACUGUAAGAAUAAGCACCGGCUAACUACGUGCCAGCCGCCGCCGUAA
rnacentral:rRNA from 1 species